AUAGAGACUCAGAGCUGCAUAUCAAUAAGCGGAGGAAAAGAAACUAACAAGGAUUCCCCUAGUAACGGCGAGUGAAGCGGGAAGAGCUCAAAUUUGAAAUCUUCAAGGUUCUACCUUGACGAAUUGUAGUUUAUAGAAGUGUUUUCUGUUAGAGAGGUGGUAUAAGUUCUUUGGAAUAGGACAUCAUAGAGGGUGAGAAUCCCGUAUUUGAUCCAUUAUUUCCAGCUGUGUGAUACACUUUCAAAGAGUCGGAUUGUUUGGGAAUGCAGUCCAAAAUGGGUGGUAAAUUUCAUCUAAAGCUAAAUAUUGGCGAGAGACCGAUAGCGAACAAGUACCGUGAGGGAAAGAUGAAAAGAACUUUGAAAAGAGAGUUAAACAGUACGUGAAAUUGUCAAAAGGGAAGCGUAUUGACACCAGUGUUGUUUUUCCGAAAAUCAAUUACGAAUGUUUUGUUUUUAAGAAGUUAUGACUUCAUCGGCUUGCUUCUUUCUUUACGAAACUUUCUUAAUGCACUUUUCGGUUAACAAGUCAACAUCAAUUUCUUUUGUUGUAAAAGGGUAUGAGGAAGGUGGCUUUCUUUUCGGAGAAAGUGUUUAUAGCCUUGUACCUCUGCAAUCGGAGAGAUUGAGGUCUGCAGCGUAGAUCCUUCGGGGUUAGAUACAUUUGUGCUAAGUUAUAGCUUUCAUAGACAACUUGUUGACUAUGAUUAAGUCAUUGUAGCUUACUCGCUUAUGCUAUUUUACCUACGCUUAGGAUGUUGAUAGUCACAGCGUGUAC
rnacentral:rRNA from 1 species